GCAGGGCUUCUCUGUGUAACCCUGGCUGUCCUAGAACUCACUCUGUAGAACAGGCUGGCCCUCAGGAGGUAGAGGCAGGCAGAUCUCUGAGUUCGAGGCCAGCUUGGUCUACAGAGUGACUUCUAGGGCAGCUAGGGCUGUUACACAGAGAAUCUUGUCUCAAAAACAAAAACACCACAAAAAAAAAGACAAAAACAAAAACAAACCAAACCAAACAAACAAAAAAACGACCACAAGAGUCAGAACUGCCAUGAGCAUCUGGAUUGGGCCAAUGAGGAAAUACAAACCUAACUUAGACCAGGGCUGGUAUUGGCCUUGAAUAUAGAGCGACAGUGGGGAGGAGUUUGUGCUAAGCUGAUCGAUAACAUAACAAUUUUGUAUUGCUAUUUGGGUAAGGAAUGGAGUAAGAUUAAACUCAAUUUAGAGCUGAGCAUGUACCAGCACCAGAUCUGAGUUUUGUCUCAGGUUAGACUUGGGGUUGGGAUUACGUCAUGCCUAAUGAGGGGUACACAGCAAGAGAAGCUGGACUCUGGUACCCAGCUGCCUGAGCUGGAAUCUUGGUUAUAAUGGUAUUCAGCUGUGUGAUCUUGGGCAAGUUAUUUUACUUUCUGUGCCUCUGGUCCCUUAUCUGUAGAAAUAGGAAAAAAUAAGCUGGGCAGUGGUGGAGCACAUCUUUAUUCCUAGCACUUGGGAGGCAGAGACAGGAGGACCUCAGUGAGUUCGAGGCCAGCCUGGUCUACAAAGCGAGUUCCAAGACAGCCAGGACUACACAGAGAAACCCUGUCUCGAAAAACAAAAAAACAAACAAACAAAAAAAGAAAUAGGAAAAAAUUAGAGUCUAUCUCAUAGGAUAUGCAUAAGAAGUAAAUGAGUUGGGGUCGGGGAUUUAGCUCAGAGGUAGAGCACUUGCCUAGCAAGCACAAGGUCCUGGGUUCGGUCCUCAGCUCCGGGAAGAAAAAAAAAAAAAGUAAAUGAGUUAACCUUGGCAAAGCGCUUCCUGUGGGGUGUGACACAGAAUAGAGCCAUUUCAGUCUUUGUUAUGUAAAUAAACAAUGGCCACAUUCCAUGUCCAUAUUGGAGAUGGCAAAUAUCCAGACUGGCUUCAGCAAUCAUCCCCAGUUAGGGAACCUGUCCGUAAACUACAUUGCCUGACUCCCUCCCCCAGUUCCACUGGGCCAUGCUGUGAGCUGGGUUGUUAGCACACGUGCUUCGGGGUGGUUUACCAGCUGACACCAUUCGUCAUCAUAAGUCUAUCCUUUGCAUCAGAGAGGUGUUAGGUCAAGGUUAAACCAGGUCCUGAGGCCAUUGCAUAUCGUGUGCAGGGCCUCCAACAUAUCCAGGAAGACAGGGCCUUGGUCCGGUAGAUUGUCCUAAAGGAGGCCAAGCCCAAGGCCACUUUCCCAUCCAAGCACACAGGGAACCCUUCAUGAAUCUUAAGUCGUCUCUCUUGGCACCUAAAUGCUAAGGUCUUAAGAAAAAGUGUUCAGUGCAGGAGGAAGGCUGGGUCAGCUGCUUGCCUCACCAGCCUGGCAGAACACCCAGAGUCCAGAGGGAGAGAAUGUAAGCAAGUGGGGGUCUUGUUCUUAAUGGGCCACGGAGGCAGAGUCCAAGAAUGGAAUUUGCUCUGUUUGAGGACUGGCAGGGAUUGAGAAGGACAAGUGAAUAGCUGGCCAUGGAGUUCAGGAGAGGACUCCCACUGGCCCAUGCUGCGUGGAUUUGUCAUCUCUGCCUCGGAACUUUGUCCCCAGUAAGAACCUGAUGCCAGCAGGUCUCACAUUCCUCCGGACCUCCUCCGAGGACCGGAUGCCUCCUGUGCAGUCCUCUCCUGGGGCUGGCAUAUCCCCAGCCCUCUGACCACCCUGCCACCCUGGUUAGUCCCACACGCCCUCCUCCGUUCCUUCAAUGAGCAGACCUGAGGUUCCUGUCCUGACUUCCCUCGAGGAUGAAUUGUGACCUGAGAAUUCGAAGAUGAAAUAAACCCUUGCCUCUUCAA